rnacentral:lncRNA from 1 species
AUGGCAAAGACACAAGCUCCAGCCCACAGUGUGGCUGGAGGGAUUUGGCCCCUGGCUGUAGUUCGCCUAUUCCCAGUCUACAGUCUGAGUCCUCGGUCUCUAGCUCUGGUUUCUGUGAAGGUUGUCAUUCUCCAGUCCCUGAAGGAAGGACUUGCUCUUCUCCCUGAACAGGAAUUCGAGGGAUGCGAGGUUGCCAGUAACCUACGAGGGAAAAUGAUUUCUCCUGCUGCCUGCCUUUCUGCGUCCAUGUUUGAGCAGAGUUUACACUCUGGGAAGACACAGACAUACCAGGUGUUUGUGACUCCAUGUUACCCCGACAUAUCUGCCCUGUUUGAAAAUUGCAGGAAAGGUAAAAACUUAGUCAUACUUAAGUGGGGAAAUCCCACAAUGACAGAUUUCUCACAGCAUGAGAAGUUAUGGAAUAAGUCUGUCCUAGACCAUUGGGUAGAUCUUUGGAGUGGACAUGCCUCUUCUCUCAGAGAGUUUAUAGCUGUCUCCUUGGAUUCUAGUCCAGGAGUCAUUAAGAAUGCAG